CGCACCCGCAGCCCAGCCGCUGGGGGCGGGGCCCCCGGCACCAGGCCGGCCCGGCGUGAUCUCCACCCCGGCCAGCCGUGCGGGCCCCACCGGCCCGUGCCCCCCGCCGGCGCAGGCCCCGCCGCGAGCCCCGCCCCCCGCUCUCCCCGCCCCCGGCGCUCGGCGCGGGCUGCGCUCGUCGCAGCUGCGGGGCCCGCAGGCGGCCAUGGCGGCGGGCGCCGGGGCCAGGCCGGCGCCGCGCUGGCUGAAGGCGCUGGGCGAGCCGCUGAGCGCGGCGCAGCUGCGGCGGCUGGAGGAGCACCGCUACAGCGCGGCGGGCGUGUCGCUGCUCGAGCCGCCGCUGCAGCUCUACUGGACCUGGCUGCUCCAGUGGAUCCCGCUCUGGAUGUCCCCCAACUCCAUCACCCUCCUCGGGCUCGCCAUCAACCUGCUCACCACGCUCGUGCUCAUCUCCUACUGCCCCACGGCCACCGAGGAGGCACCAUACUGGACAUACCUAUUAUGUGCACUGGGACUCUUUAUCUACCAGUCACUGGAUGCUAUUGAUGGGAAACAAGCCAGAAGAACAAAUUCUUGUUCCCCUUUAGGGGAACUCUUUGACCAUGGUUGUGACUCUCUUUCUACAGUGUUUAUGGCAGUGGGAGCUUCAAUUGCUGCUCGCUUAGGAACUCAUCCUGACUGGUUGUUUUUCUGCUCUUUUAUUGGGAUGUUCAUGUUUUAUUGUGCUCAUUGGCAGACUUAUGUUUCAGGCGUGUUGAGAUUUGGAAAAGUGGACGUAACUGAAAUUCAGAUAGCUUUAGUGAUUGUCUUUGUGUUGUCUACAUUUGGAGGAGCAACAAUGUGGGACUAUACGAUACCCAUUCUAGAAAUAAAAUUGAAGAUCCUUCCAGUUCUCGGAGUAGUAGGUGGAGCAAUAUUUUCCUGUUCAAAUUAUUUCCAUGUUAUCCUCCAUGGUGGCGUUGGCAAGAAUGGAUCCACUGUAGCAGGCACCAGUGUCUUGUCACCUGGACUCCACAUAGGACUAAUUAUUAUACUGGCAAUAAUGAUCUAUAAAAAGUCAGCAACUAAUCUGUUUGAAAAGCAUCCUUGUCUUUAUACCCUAAUGUUUGGGUGUGUCUUUGCUAAAGUCUCACAAAAAUUAGUGAUAGCUCACAUGACCAAAAGCGAACUUUAUCUUCAAGACACUGUCUUUUUUGGGCCAGGUCUGUUGUUUUUAGACCAGUACUUUAAUAAUUUUGUAGAUGAAUAUGUCAUUCUGUGGAUAGCAAUGGUCAUUUCUUCAUUUGAUAUGAUGAUAUACUUUAGUGCUUUGUGCCUGCAAAUUUCAAGACACCUUCAUCUAAAUAUCUUCAAGACUUCAUGUCAUCAAGCACCUGAACAGGUUCACAAGCAUAUUGACUGACUAAUAGCUCAAGGAAAAGAGGAGAUGCAGUUAGGGGAACCUAUGAGUGAAGGAAAUCCCCCUAUGCAGGAGGCUAGUAUACUAUCAGUUAAGGUUAUAUUUGAAUACAAAACACAAAUACUGCAAAUUCUAUUUCAGAAAUGAAGCCCUCAUUGUGUAUCAUUUUUGAUCACAGGUAUUCUCAGAGUAAUACAAUCUAUAAAUUAGAAACAAGACUAAAGAAAGAAAUUUCAAUCCUAAAGAAACUGAACCCCUGUAAUUCUAAAUAGCAGUCUCUUUGAGAAACUUAUCAGAUACUUUGAGAAUGUAAAGGAUUUUGGCCAUUUGAGUGUGCUUUGCUAAAAAUGUAAAAGUGAGCUCAUAAUACUCAAUAAUUACAAUAUUAUAAGCCAAGCACUUAUGGAGUCAAGUAAUGUUCUAAGAAUUUUUAAAAAUAAUAAUCAUUUUUCAAAUGAGGUACACUAAUUACUAUGGUAUAAAAGAUCUUUGGUGACCCAAAUCUUCAGCUCCCAUCUGACCCUAUUUUUAAUUUUAUACAGUAGUUCUGUAGACCAUAUACCAUAUGAUGAAAUAAUCAGAAAAAUAAAUAAUGAACAUGUACAUCUGUCAUAGGCAAGAAAAAGGCAUAUUGAAAAAAACAGUGAAAGAUGAUAUUCCUUAAAAGGAAAAAAAUAUACUUAUCUGAAUUAAGUACACAGAAAACACUCUGGAGUACUUCUUACUUUGCCUCUGUUCAAGUUCUUUCUUCAAAGAGUCAUCAGAAUAACAUGGAUUGAAGAGACUUUCGAACAC